rnacentral:rRNA from 1 species
UACGGAGGGGGCUAGCGUUGUUCGGAAUUACUGGGCGUAAAGCGCACGUAGGCGGCUUUGUAAGUUAGAGGUGAAAGCCCUGGGCUCAACCCGGGAAUUGCGCUUGAGACUGGUGUGCUUGAGUACGGGAGAGGAUAGUGGAAUUCCCAGUGUAGAGGUGAAAUUCGUAGAUAUUGGGAAGAACACCAGUGCGAAGGCGGCUAUCUGGACCGUAACUGACGCUGAGGCGCGAAAGCGUGGGAGCAAACAGG